rnacentral:rRNA from 1 species
UACGGAGGAUCCAAGCGUUAUCCGGAUUUAUUGGGUUUAAAGGGUGCGUAGGCGGCCUAUUAAGUCAGGGGGGAAAGACGGUAGCUUAACUAUCGCAGUGCCUUUGAUACUGAUGGGCUUGAAUGCAGCUGAGGUAGGCGGAAUAUGACAAGUAGCGGUGAAAUGCAUAGAUAUGUCACAGAACACCGAUUGCGAAGGCAGCUUACUAAAGUGUGAUUGACGCUGAGGCACGAAAGCGUGGGGAUCAAACAGG